AACGGCCGUAACAUGCUGAAUAUACCGGUUCUCGUUAGAUCACCGAAGUCAAGCAUCAUUGGGCGCGGUCAGUACUUGGGUGGGUGACCACCUGGGAACACUGCGUGUCGUU